AUAUCGAUAGAUAUGAGUUUUACUUUAAUCUUGGCCUUAUCUCACACGUAGCAGCAACUGACAAACCUUUUUUCCAUUUAAUGACACGUAUUUUAACAUUUUCUCUUGAGCAACAAAUGUAUUUCACAUUCUUCUUAAUUACUCCACAGAUUUUAUCUUCCAUACUCAUUUAUUUAUUUCCCCCUUUUUGAAUCCAAAUCUUUUAUGGAUCUUCUCUUUUUCUAAAUGUUCCGUUCUUUCACUUUUUGCCCAGCUCUUCUAUAUGUAUACAGAGGCUACGCUAGGGAGAACAGAAGGAGAGUGUUAGAUUAUUUUUCCAAAAGUAUCAAUGAUAAGAAAUACUCUAGUGACGUUAGUCAACUAUAUACAAGAGUUUUGAUCAACUUUUAUGCUCGGGGAGAGAUUAGUAUUCUUGGGGUCGUUCGGAAAUCGCGGGACCACCAUUAGCUGAGAAAUCACCGAAGGUUGGACGUAUAUCCAAAGGAUGGACUCGUUGUGGUCAGUCGAAGAUCGAAGUGAGGUUCAGGUAUACCGAGUGGCAGACGUGCAUUCUAGAUGGUAUAAAUGUUAAGUGAGAUAGUGUAGGCUCCAUUUCUUCCUAGAGCUAAGUCAGAUCUUAUACUUUUUACGUAGAGAUUAUGGGUAGGUCAGGGCCCUGUCCUGACAACAUGUCAGUUGUAUAAUUUCAGUUAUCCUAAAGGCUUCAUAGACGUUUGUGGUCGGGUUCAGUCAUGUAUAGGUUUAUUAUUCUGAUCAUA